GAAUCUUUGUUUGUAUAGCAGAGAAAGGCACCGUAUCUAUUUCUCUAUGGUAGGCUUAUUUACUAUGGAGGCUGCCUUACAGUACCUCUCUGACACAGUCUAGAAAUGAAACCGUUUUGAUGACUCUGCAAAUCAUAUUAUAAUUCAGGUCAUCAAAAUGGACGCGGUAAAGGGGUCAAUGGAACUUGACCAAAACAAUGGAAUUGCCAUGGAAACGCGUGGGGAAAGAUCCAGGGGUUCUCCUCGUUGUAUUUCACACUAUGUUGAGAUUGUCAGCAGCCUGCUUCCUCUGCCUCAGUAUCGCCACUCUCCCCACCACUAAGGAGAGUCUCCCUAGUCCACAGGUAACGUCCUAGAGGCCUGAGCUCUACAUCUCCUCCUGUCUCUUUCCGCUUCUCUCACUCGCUCUCCUUGUGACUUGGGCCUGCAGGAUACACGCAGCAUGCCCCGCACGGCUGGUUCUUAAGCCACAGAUAUUAGUUCAUAUUCACACUACUAUACUGUACUUGAUGGAUCAAACACAUUUACAUAACAGGCAUCUAGUCACACACACACACACACACACACAGAAGCCUGAGCUUAAGAAACUCAUUAAGGCGAGAAGACUUGUGUAUUUUUCUGACUCACAGCACGAGGCGUUGGUAUUUAUGACACAGCUACACUGAAACUGUAUUGCUUAGUAUAAGGGCUAUAAUUAGUGUUAGCACAUGCAUUGGUUUUGCAUGAAGCUUUUGUCACCAGUAACACUCUGCUUCAUCUUCUUAAUGCAGAUCAUCUACUUCUACUUAGAU
rnacentral:lncRNA from 13 species